AGUACGUCUCCUCUAAUGCAAAGCAAUGUUUUCAACUAAAUUGCUUUGCCUCGCUUGUAGACAAGAUCAAUGUUUCUAUUAUCCUAGCAUCUAAAUUAGCUUUCAUGCGUAUUUUGAUGCUCGAGAAACGUAGAAAUACAAUA